UUUUAGACUUUCAAUCAAUUUGAUCUGCUGCUUAUUCUUAUUUUGAGUUUUCUCUCGAUUGCUUAUUUUUCAACGUCUUGAUUUCAGCGUUUGCGGGAUGAAGAUAUUAUUCUUGAAUCAAAUCUGGAUAAUUCUUUGUCCGGCUGGGAACACGAAUCGAUUGUCGAAGUAGAGAGAAAAGAUCAGCACGGUAGCGGCUUUUCACCCACGAAGGAACCAUUACACAAAAGAAGUCGUCUUGAAUGUGAAACGUGUCGAAAAUCAUUUUCAAGAAAAGAUGCCUUGAAACGACACGAGAAGGUUCAUCAAAAUGAGAAAAAUCAUCAAUGCGGAAAAUGCGGGAAGAAAUUCAGCCGUCGGGACUACUUAAAAAAGCAUCAGAAAGUUCACGAGAAACAUAGUGUUGAGCGUGAGUAUAAAUGUUUAACCUGCGGGAAAACGUUUAGUUCAGUUGGGCAAUUGAAAUCCCACCAGAAGUAUGCAGUCCACUCUUUGGCCAAACAAACACGUCAAGUUGAGAAACGAAAGCGAAGCCAAGUAGACGAUCAAUCAAAAAAACGUGAUUCCAAACGACCGAGAACUAGUGUCAACGAAGGAGCCAGAACAAGUUGGCAGUCUGAUCCUAUAGUCAUGCCACCCAAUGUUAUUAUCCCCAACGGCGACCAGCAAAUCCGCACUAUGAUAAGUCAACACUGGAGUGAGAUUCGUACCAGACAGAGUCGCAGAAAUAGGUUACAGGAUUGGUAUAACUUUAGGCUGGAAUCCUACGACCGCCAAGUAUUCCAUCAAUACCUCCAACAGAUAUUAGCUGAUCAAACCACUGUAUUCUGGUUGAACAUGUCCUUUGGGUUUGU